rnacentral:lncRNA from 1 species
GGGAUAUACUAAAUAAAUAAACGAUGUGCAGGAGAGUGAAAUAUUUCUAGAAUAUUAUAUUUGUACAUGUUUAACUACAAGGAAAUACUACAAUACAUUUCAUUUUACUAUCAAUUUGAUGAUUGAUUGCUAGUGUUGUAUCCUUUUAAAAAGAAUACUAUAUCAAUCAUCAAGUCGUCUAUAGCGCCUGGUUUCUUGCUCCAAUGUCUUGAAUCCAUUUUCUUAAGUUUGGUAUGUCUGCAUCUCCUCAUUGUCAAAAACAUGCAUUUUUUCCGCCCGCAGGAUUCCCGGGCACUAGAAAUUGGGCCUAGCGUCUCCAAUCUACAAUCUAUGAUCCAGAACCUUUUGGGUCUGCAAUCUAUCCACAAAAAUUUACGAUUCUGCUCUGAAAAAUAAUAUAAUAACUUAAAAUAAACUAAUAUUUAACCAUUUAAAUACAUCGUCUUUUUUCGUUGGCUACUCAACCUCGCGGUAUAUUUAUAUGGUUUCAGUAGAGUGCGCCUCUUUUCUUGCGUUGUCUUUUCCCCCUCUGAUAUGUAUUUUAUGUGAUAUGAGUUUAAUGUUAUUCUUUAUUUGCUGCGAUAUUUGUUGUGUUUAUGUGCACAUAAAAAAGAUAAUAAUUUAAAAUAAAUUUAUAUUUAUAACCAUUUAAAUACAUCGGUUUUUUUCGAUGGCUACUCUCCCUCGCGGAAACCAUGGGGUGAAUUAUAUGGUUUAAGCAGAGUGCACCCGUCUGCUUCGUGCAAGUGUUCCCCUUUUUUUACGUUGUCUUUUUUUUUCGUCUGGUAUGUAUUUCAUGUGAUAUGAAGUCAAUGUUAUUCUUUAUUGCUAUUUGUUGUGUUAUGUGCAGGUGUACUUUUUUUUGUAUGAAUAAAUUGUGGGAUUUUGGCGGGAAAUUUGUGGGUGGGUAAAUUUCCCAAAUUGACUAUUCAAUUGUUAUGCUUCAAAACGGACUAAUGGUAUGAUAUGAAGCUUUUUGGGAUGGGUGGAGUUAAUUUAUUUUGACAAGGAGUUGGUUUUAUUGCAUCUUACAUAGAGUACAUAUAUAAAGAUUUUCUCAUUUUUUUUAAAUUUCUACAUUUACA